UUGACCUCGGAUCAGGUAGGGAUACCCGCUGAACUUAAGCAUAUCAAUAAGCGGAGGAAAAGAAACCAACAGGGAUUGCCCUAGUAACGGCGAGUGAAGCGGCAACAGCUCAAAUUUGAAAUCUGGCUCUUUCAGAGUCCGAGUUGUAAUUUGCAGAGG
rnacentral:rRNA from 1 species